AGUAAGGUGGAGUAAACGAAAAAGCUUUUAUCGAGUCCCAAGUGUAAUUAGCGAAUAAUAAAGAAUCAUAUGGAAGGUGUUAGUUCUUUGCAGGAAGUAACUGAAUAUCACACACAUGACACAAUCUGGUAACUAUGUAAUAUUUCUGCUAGAAGUUUCGCCCAGCUUCUAAUCUUCUCUAUAGCAUACGAGGAAUACAGUAUUAUACCAGUUCUAAGUCGCCUUGAUUAGACUAUGGAAAAAAUUCGAGGAAGUUCUUCCACAUCAGGAAUAAAAUUGAAGGUUUAACAGUGACUAUCAAGAUGCUAUGGUUUUUAGGAAUACCUUCGCACACAAAAACAUAAAAAUGUUACUUCGGCGUUGCGGUUUAUUAUAAUAACGCAACUAAAGCAAGCUUUUAAGCAUUAUUUUAGGCUUUAAUGAACAACACCGAGAAGUGGCAUAUUUUCGCCCAGUAGAGUAAGGAUGAAAGCAACGUCCACCCAAAACUCUCGCUUCAACACCAUUUGACGGAAAAAUUUGUGGUCAUGACAUCAAACAACAACUAAAUGAAGGGUCCGGCACUCGAACUGUAACCAACUUCAAACCGCUCGCGCAGCUGACGCACGAGCAUCAGCUGUUUUUAAGUUAGAUAAAUGAUACCUUAGAAUACUGGUUAUAAGCACAAGAAAGCAUUUUGCCGAGAGUGAAUGCAAAAAAACGAAAUCAGUAAUAGUGUGAUUGCAUUAUAUUUAACUGGAAAAUCAAAACAAGCGAUUGUUCGAGAGCUGAAACACCUAAAAGUGAACAAAGUUUUCGUUUAUCGCACCAUUACUCGUUACAAUGAUACUAGUAGCAGUGGAGGUGGCCAUCAAAAGACUGCAACGUCACCUGAGAUGGUUAAAAAAGUGAAUAAGCGACUUGAGCGAAAUCACCGAUGAAGUGCCAAUCAAAUGGUGAAAGAAAUGAUCUUCAGGUCAAGCCUUAUAAGAUCCGAAAGGCGCAUAAUCUCCCACCCAAUCAGCACAAGUCAGAGUUUAAAGAGCAGAGGAGUUGUUUCGUUUGGCCGAACGUGGUCAAUUUCCGACAUUUUUUGUGUUUUCUGAUGAAAAAAUUUUUACAGUUGAGCAAUUCGUAAACUCUCAAAACGAUAGGAUUUGAGUCAUCGAUUGGCCACCAGGAGGCAGCACCCGCCACAGGUAAUGGUUUGGGCCACUGUAACCGCAGAUAGGCGCCCUCCAAUCCAAACAUUUCGUUUGUAGACCAUGGACAAUUCAACAGGACUCGGCACCAUCUCAUAAAGCUCGAGUGAACCAAGAAUGGCUGAAAAACAACGUUCCGAUCUUCAUAACGUCCACACAAUGGCUCUCGAAUUCACCAGACGCUAACCCGAUGAAUUAUUCUAAAAUAUUCCGAACUAAAAAAUACACCAGUCUCGAAACGCUGAAGAAAACCGUUGUCCGCGAGUGGGUCAAAAUAUCUGGAAGGCACAUUCGGGCAGCUUGCGAUUCGUUUUUUGACCAUCUCAAGGCCAUAGUCUAAGCAAAAGGUGGUCAUAUCGAGAAAAAAUAAAUUGUUUCAAAAUUUUCUGUUAUUUUCACACAUUUUGUACUUUAACUGAUUA